rnacentral:rRNA from 1 species
GAUGAACGCUGGCGGCGUGCCUAAUACAUGCAAGUCGAGCGAACAGACGAGGAGCUUGCUCGUCUGACGUUAGCGGCGGACGGGUGAGUAACACGUGGAUAACCUACCUAUAAGACUGGGAUAACUUCGGGAAACCGGAGCUAAUACCGGAUAAUAUAUUGAACCGCAUGGGUCAAUGGUGAAAUACGGUUUUGCUGUCACUUAUAGAGGGAUCUGCGCCGCAUUAGCUAGUUGGUAAGGUAACGGCCUACCAAGGCAACGAUGCGUAGCCGACGUCUGGGGGUGAUCGGCCACCUUGGAACGUAGACACCGUCCAGACUCCUGAGGGAGGGAGCAGUCGGGUACGUUACGCAACGGGCGAGAGCAUGACGGAGUGGCGGCGAGCGAGAGAUGACGGUGUUGCGAUCGGAAAACUCUGUUAUUAGGGAUGAACAACUGUGGCAGUAGAUAUGCCCGUAGUGACGGUAACUAGUAAAGAAGCAACGGCUAACUACGUG